AGUGGCGGACGGGUGAGUAACGCGUGAGAAUCUGCCUUUAGGACGGAGAUAACAGAAGGAAACUGCUGCUAAUCCCCGAUGAGCCGGUUUACCGGUCAAAGAUUUAUCGCCUAGAGAUGAGCUCGCGUCCGAUUAGCUAGUUGGUGUAAUAAAAGUGCACCAAGGCGACGAUCGGUAGCUGGUCUGAGAGGACAAUCAGCCACACUGGACUGAGACACGGCCCAGACUCCUACGGGAGGCAGCAGUGGGGAAUUUUCCGCAAUGGGCGAAAGCCUGACGGAGCAAGACCGCGUGGGGGAGGAAUGCCUUAGGGUUGUAAACCCCUUUUAUCUGGGAAGAAACUAUUGUCAAAGAUAGCUGACGGUACCAGAUGAAUAAGCCUCGGCUAACUCCGUGCCAGCAGCCGCGGUAAUACGGAGGAGGCAAGCGUUAUCCGGAUUUAUUGGGCGUAAAGCGUCCGCAGGUGGCAGUUCAAGUCUGCUGUCAAAGACAGUGGCUCAACCACUGAAAGGCAGCAGAUACUGAGCAGCUAGAGUGCGGUAGGGGCAGAGGGAAUUCCCGGUGUAGCGGUGAAAUGCGUAGAUUUCGGGAAGAACAUCGGUGGCGAAAGCGCUCUGCUGGACCGCAACUGACACUCAGGGACGAAAGCUAGGGGAGCGAAUGGGAUUAGAUACCCC
rnacentral:rRNA from 1 species